rfam:Rhizoctonia solani 123E scf_692, whole genome shotgun sequence.
CCCUUGGUAGCUCAGCUGGAAGAGCGCAAGACUGUAAUUGGAAGUCAUCUUGAGGCCAUCAGUUCGAUUCUGAUUCAAGGGA